UUAAGUUAAUAAGGGCGCACGGUGGAUGCCUUGGCACUAGGAGCCGACGAAGGACGUGACAAACGACGAUAUGCCUUGGGUAGCUGUAAGUAAGCGAUGAUCCAGGGAUUUCCGAAUGGGGAACCCAACAGGUAGUACCUGUUACCCACAUCUGUUAAGGAUGUGAGGAGGAAGACGCAGUGAACUGAAACAUCUAAGUAGCUGCAGGAAGAGAAAGCAAAAGCGAUUGCCUUAGUAGCGGCGAGCGAAACGGCAGAAGGGCAAACCGAAGAGUUUACUCUUCCGGGUUGUAGGACUGCAAUGUGGACUCAAAGAUUAUAGAAGAAUGAUUUGGGAAGAUCAGCCAAAGAGAGUAAUAGCCUCGUAUUUUAAAUAGUCUUUGUACCUAGCAGUAUCCUGAGUACGGCGGGACACGUGAAAUCCCGUCGGAAUCUGGGAGGACCAUCUCCCAACCCUAAAUACUCCCUAGUGACCGAUAGUGAACCAGUACCGUGAGGGAAAGGUGAAAAGCACCCCGGGAGGGGAGUGAAAUAGAACCUGAAACCGUGUGCCUACAACAAGUUCGAGCCCGUUAAUGGGUGAGAGCGUGCCUUUUGUAGAAUGAACCGGCGAGUUACGUUAUGAUGCGAGGUUAAGUUGAAGAGACGGAGCCGUAGGGAAACCGAGUCUGAAUAGGGCGCCUUAGUAUCAUGACGUAGACCCGAAACCAUGUGACCUACCCAUGAGCAGGUUGAAGGUGCGGUAAGACGCACUGGAGGACCGAACCAGGGCACGUUGAAAAGUGCUUGGAUGACUUGUGGGUAGCGGAGAAAUUCCAAACGAACUUGGAGAUAGCUGGUUCUCUCCGAAAUAGCUUUAGGGCUAGCGUCGACAUUAGAGAUUCUUGGAGGUAGAGCACUGUUUGGGUGAGGGGUCCAUCCCGGAUUACCAAUCUCAGAUAAACUCCGAAUGCCAAUGAAUUAUGGUCGGCAGUCAGACUGCGAGUGCUAAGAUCCGUAGUCGAAAGGGAAACAGCCCAGACCACCAGCUAAGGUCCCAAAAUAAUUGUUAAGUGGAAAAGGAUGUGGGGUUGCACAGACAACUAGGAUGUUAGCUUAGAAGCAGCUAUUCAUUCAAAGAGUGCGUAAUAGCUCACUAGUCGAGUGACCCUGCGCCGAAAAUGUACCGGGGCUAAAACAAUUUACCGAAGCUGUGGAUACCUUUAUAGGUAUGGUAGGAGAGCGUUCUAUGUGUGAUGAAGGUAUACCGUGAGGAGUGCUGGAACGCAUAGAAGUGAGAAUGCCGGUAUGAGUAGCGAAAGACAGGUGAGAAUCCUGUCCACCGUAAGACUAAGGUUUCCAGGGGAAGGCUCGUCCGCCCUGGGUUAGUCGGGACCUAAGGAGAGACCGAAAGGUGUAUCCGAUGGACAACAGGUUGAUAUUCCUGUACUAGAGUAUGUAGUGAUGGAGGGACGCAGUAGGCUAACUAAAGCAGACGAUUGGAAGAGUCUGUCUAAGCAGUGAGGUGUGAAUUGAGUCAAAUGCUUAAUUCUAUAACAUUGAGCUGUGAUGGGGAGCGAAGUUUAGUAGCGAAGUUAGUGACGUCACACUGCCAAGAAAAGCUUCUAGCGUUUAAACAUACUCUACCCGUACCGCAAACCGACACAGGUAGUCGAGGCGAGUAGCCUCAGGUGAGCGAGAGAACUCUCGUUAAGGAACUCGGCAAAAUGACCCCGUAACUUCGGGAGAAGGGGUGCUGACUUUAAGUCAGCCGCAGUGAAUAGGCCCAAGCAACUGUUUAUCAAAAACACAGCUCUCUGCUAAAUCGUAAGAUGAUGUAUAGGGGGUGACGCCUGCCCGGUGCUGGAAGGUUAAGAGGAGUGCUUAGCGUAAGCGAAGGUAUGAAUUGAAGCCCCAGUAAACGGCGGCCGUAACUAUAACGGUCCUAAGGUAGCGAAAUUCCUUGUCGGGUAAGUUCCGACCCGCACGAAAGGCGUAAUGAUUUGGGCACUGUCUCAACGAGAGACUCGGUGAAAUUUUAGUACCUGUGAAGAUGCAGGUUACCCGCGACAGGACGGAAAGACCCCAUGGAGCUUUACUGCAGUUUGAUA
rnacentral:rRNA from 1 species